CCCCCACUCCCCGCCGACCGCCCGCAUCUGGGCGCGCAGAGGAACAGAUUUCGCGUUUCACACAGCGCACAAUGGCCGCCCUCAAAGGCGCGCCGCCCGCAUUGUUCGGCCCGGCGCCCGCGCGUCCUACCUCCGCGCGCGAAUUAACCCCGGUCACCCCGCCAUUGUCGCCGCGCACUUCGGGGCCGGCCACAAAGGCGCCAGAAAACCCUGCCGUGUUCGGAAGGGAGGGGGCAGGGGAGGACACACACCGCUGCCGUUGGUGGGCACCCACAGCCCCUGAACUUGGACUAACCCUGCUUCCAGCUCCCAUUCACGGUUUGGCUGAUACCCUAAGGACUGAAGAAGUUCACGAUGGGUCCCCAGUCCCAGUGGGGUUCCCAGUCCCAGUGGGGGUCCUCAUCUCCCAUCAUGGCCCCUCAGGACUAGGACUGGUAUUCUCUCAGGGACUGGGUUUUGAUUGUCCCUAAUCUGGUCCCAUGUUAGAACACUUGCAUGUGCGCAUUUGCGUGUACACACACACACAAACACACACGGAAACACACAAACACAUGCACAAAAACACAAACAUACAUGCACAAACACAAACACACGCACAAACACACAAAAACACACAUAUAAACACACACAGACACAUGCACAAACACACACGCAAACACACACUUGCUCCUCCAUGCUGGCAGAAAUUGGGUCCAUUGUACAGAUGGGGAAGCUGAGGUUCAAAAGAUACUGCCAUCCACCAGGGCCACGCUGUAAUCAGAGGCCCUGUGACUCCCAGGCCUUUGCACUCAUCUGUAGGAGGAUGGCCGGAUCUGGUUGGUGAAAUUGAAGUCCCCCACUCCCACUCAAGACCAGGUCCUCCAAGCGUGGGGUCCCUGUCUGAGGAGAAACCUGGUAGGACUCCACAGCCUCCCAGAGGAGACGGCCUGCUCAGGUGACCUUAGCCAGGGUCCCACCUCCAAACCAGUCCACACCCAAGGGACUUUCAGAGGUGCCCCCAUCAUCUUCCCCAAAGAUGAGGCCACAGUAGCAUUUGAAUCCUCUACCAGUGCUGGCAAAUUACCUUUUGCAUUUGCCCUGAGUUGUUCAUACAGCAAAGUGCUCUCAGGCCCCAGACGCUGGGCCUGGCUGGAAAAACCAAACUGCCCAUGCCAGGAUAGUACUUACCAUGUGGCCGGCAGCAUUCUAGGGAAUCUUUAACGCAUUUUCAUAUCGACUUAAGAGGUUACCGAUGUUAUCCCCAUUUUGCAGAUGGGAAAACUGAGGGUAAGUAACUUGCCAAAUUUACGCAAAGCUAGUGGUGUAUACUGAUGGCAUAAACAAGGUAGAUUUGGUUCUAAUAUGUAUGUGUAUAUAUGUAUAUGGAUGGAUACAGAUAUAUAUGUAUAUGUGUGUGAUACAUAUGUAAAUAUCUAUAUAGAUGGAUAUAGAUAUAUAUGCAUGUGCAUAUAUUUAUAUGGAUGGAUAUAUAUGUAUAUGUGUGGGAUAUAUAUGUAAAUAUAUAGUAGAUGGAUAUAGAUAUAUAUGUAUGCAUAUAUAUUUAUAUGGAUGGAUAUGGAUAUAUAUGUAUAUGUGUGGGAUAUAUAUGUAAUAUCUAUAUAGAUGGAUAUAGAUAUAUAUGCAUGUGCAUAUAUUUAUAUGGAUGGAUAUAUAUGUAUAUGUGUGGGAUAUAUAUGUAAAUAUAUAGAUGGAUAUAGAUAUGUAUGCAUAUAUAUUUAUAUAAAUGGAUAUGGAUAUAUAUGUAUAUGUGUGGGAUAUAUAUGUAAAUAUAUAGAUGGAUAUAGAUAUAUAUGUAUGCAAAUAUAUUUAUAUGGAUGGAUAUGGAUAUAUAUGUAUAUGUGUGGGAUAUAUAUGUAAUAUCUAUAUAGAUGGAUAUAGAUAUACAUGCAUGUGCAUAUAGUUAUAUGGACGGAUGCAGAUAUCUAUGUAUGUGUGUGAUAUAUAAGUAAAUAUCUAGAUGGAUAUAGACAUGCGUGUGUGUGUGUGUGUUGCUGUUGCUGCUGCAGAUACAGUUUUUAGACCUAAUCUGUUUGAAUAAUGGACUGACUCUUCAGUGCCUUUCUGUUCCUCUAAGGCUUUGUGAUCUUUUCCCCUACAGGGGCUUUGGGAAUCUGGGGAACGGACCUGUAGGCCCCGUAGGAAUUUGAAUUUUUCCACCUCUUGAUCUGAUGAGCAGCUAAGUGAAGCCUCUCUUCUCUAUUUCCCCAACCAUGGCAGCUCCAGUGGCCCCUAAGCCAGGCCCUUGAAGGAAAAAUCAAACCUUAAAUUUGAAGAUCAUUGAAGCUGCCCCUCCAUCCCCUGGGAAUUCACUAAGAGAGGGUUGGAGGAAAAGUAACCCCUUCACAACAAUAUCCAGACACGUGAGAGUGGCCCUUGGUCAUGAACCAACAUGGUUCUAUUAUUUCAUGUAAUCCUUCUCUCAAGAGAAGACAGGCAUGGUUAGGAUUUCAAACCCAGGUCCUCUCCAAGCCCCUGGCUGAUAAGGAGCUCUAGGUGGCUCCUCUGUUCUCUGCCCUCUGCUCAUGCCAAUAUCAGUGAAGCAUCGUGGGAAGUUACCUACUGCGUCCUAAUGAGUUGAUUUACCAGUCUGUAAAAUGGGUGUAAUGUUGCUGCUUCUCUCUAUGGCCUUGUGAGGAUGAAAUGCGGGGAGGCAGGUGCUCCCAGAAGGUGUAGUUUAGACUGUGUCCUCUCCUCCUCCCAUCAUCUUCCUCUGUCCUAACUCUCAUCUGCUUGUUCCCUCCCAAUAUCCCCCAUCCCUCCCUUCCUCCAACUCCCCCGCUAGCUCCCCGAGUCAAUAUUCAUAAAAAUAACCAGGUUGUCCAAGUGUGACCUGCAGCGUCCUGGGACAUUCUUCCUUUCUGGCUGGUGCCUCAGGUUUCCUGGACCGGCGGGUCCCUACUUCCUCCAGGUCCCCCCUCAUUUGGGGGACAGCUUGGUGGUACCUCAACUCACUGCCCCCUGCUCAGCUGUGAAUGCCCUUCUGACUGCCCUCACCCCUUGCUGGGCUCUGGUUCCCCAGUGCACCCAGCUGGGAUGUUUCCCUGCUGGAGCCUUCUGCUAGGCUGGAGGGGGUGAAGUGGAGGGGGGACAGCCGGCCAGGCCAACGUGGCUGCACAGCGUCCUCCCCCUGGAGAGAGAAAGCCCCCAGCCAGGCCUGCUGCGGGUUAGAUAAGGAGCGCAAGCCACGCGGCUCGUCCUCUUUUUUGUAAUCUCCUCCUCCACCUCCACCCUUCCCUCCACCGACUCCCUGACUUUUUUUUAUAUCAUCUUUAUGGCUUUGGAAUUAUCUGGGCUGACACUGCAUUCACUUAGCUAAGGGCAGGCGGGGUCGCAGGAGACAACUUGCUCCUACGUGUGUAUAUUCAUGGGGCCGAUAGGGAGCAGCCCUACCCCCCUCCCCUAGCUGGGAAGAGGGAAUAAGGAGGCUAGCUGGAGGAGAGUUUGGGGACACGGUGACAACCAGUUCAGGGCAGCAAACAGAAUGUGAGUGCCAGAAACCCUGCAGUGGCAGAGGCCAGCUCUCAGGCAGCUGUGGCCAAACCUCCGAUGGGGACAAUCAUUUAAGGUCGACAGAGGCACUGAUUGGCAAAGAAACUGAGUUUUUCAACUUAUUUAUUUUUCUUUUCUUCUUCUCCCUUUUUUGAGAGAGAGAGAGAGAGAGAGAGAGAGAGAGAGAGAGAGAGAGAGAGAGAGAGAGAGACUGACUCUCUGUUGCCCAGCUGACCUCAGACUCCUGGGCUCAAGUGAUCCUCCUGACUUAGUAGCUCUGUCCAACUCGAUGAACUGGAUUUUCUCUCUAAAUACUUAUUCCUUCCUUCCUCCUUUGUUCCUUUCUUUCCUUCUUUCUUCCUUUCUUCCUUCCUCCCUCUCCUUUCUUUGCUCUCUCCUUCCUUCCCUCUCCUUCCUUCUUUCCUUCCUUCCUUCCUCCUUCCCUUCCCUCCUUCACUCCCUCCCUUCCUCCCUUCCCUCCUUCCCUCCCUCCUUCCCUCUUUCCUUCCUUCCUCCCUCCCUCCCUCCCGUUCCUCCCUCCUUCUUUCUCUACCUUCUUCCUUCCUUCCUCCCUCAAGCAAUAGACCUUGAGUUUCAGAACAUGGUUUUAGUUGUUACCUGGUUCAAGUCCUCGCUUUUGCAGGCUGUGUGACACUGGGUAAGUGGCUUCACCUCUCUAAGCCUCAGUUUCCCCGUGUAUAAAAUGGAGACAAUGCUAGAGCCCACUUCAUUCUGUAUUAUGAGAGUUAGAUGAAAUUAAUGAAAGUGCUUGGCACAUAGUAAGGGUGGAUUCAUUUCUGCCUACUAUUUUUCUAAAUUAUUAUUUAUUGCAUGCGUCUCAUGUACCAGUGGGGCACAGGGACGAAUCACACAGCCUGUGCCCCCAAAGGUGCUCACCGAUAUGACAGCUCUCAUAAGCAACCCCAAGUUAUGUUUUUAAAAUCGUAUUUUAUUUCUGGGCAGGAAUACAGAUAUGUUCACAGCGCUCAAAAGAAAAGUGAUACUGAACUUAUGAAGCAGAUAAAUUAGGGGUGAUUAUUCUCAUCACAAAAGGAUACACUACAGGGAUUCCUUAAGUGGUAAGUCCUCUAAUACUGGAAGCGUGGAAGCCUUAGCUGGAGCUCUCUCUGCCCUGGCUCCCCCACAGAGCAGUUAAUGGUGGUGAAAUGAGAGAGCCUGGCCUGAGACAGGAACUCUGAAUUUGCACCUCAUCACUGGCUGGCCGGGCAGCCUGCAGCAGGCGGUGUCCUCUCUCGGACUCUCAGUUUCCCCGAUGACAGGAUAACUGGAUGGGAUCGCAUCUCUGCAGUGUCCCUGUCCCCAUCCGAGGCCAGACGACAGCUUUCCUGCUGGCCUGUCUGCUCCACUCCUCCCUGGGUCCCUUCUCCAUAUCACAGCUGCAGGGAUCUUCUGAAAGCCCAAAUCAGUUUCCCCUACAUAAAGCUUUCCAGUGGCUUCCCCUCGCCCUCAGAACCUUACCCGUACUUCCAGCCCAGCUCUUCUUAUCUGCUCCCCUCUCCACCUUGCUCCUGUGCCUCCAGCCACUCCUGGGCAUUCCUACCCCAGGCCCUUUGCACCUGCCGGUCCUUCCUGGAACUUUGCCCCAGUUCUGCCCACCCCGCUCCCAGGCUCUUUUGUUACUAAGUUCCUAGUUGAAAUGUCGCCAUCUCAGCAUCCCCCAUGUAAUAAACAUCUAACACUCACUGAUCA
rnacentral:lncRNA from 13 species